rnacentral:rRNA from 1 species
GAACGGGGUAGCAAUACCCAGUGGCGGACGGGUGAGUAACACGUGGGAAUCUGCCCUUGAGUGGUGAAUAACUGGCCGAAAGGCUAGCUAAUGUGCCAUACGUCGCAAGAUGAAAGCAGCAAUGCGCUGAAGGAUGAGCCCGCGUCCGAUUAGCUAGUUGGUAAGGUAAGAGCUUACCAAGGCAACGAUCGGUAGGUGGUCUGAGAGGAUGAUCACCCACAAUGGGACUGAGACACGGCCCAUACUCCUACGGGAGGCAGCAGUGGGGAAUUUUACACAAUGGGGGAAACCCUGAUGUAGCGACACCGCGUGAGCGAAGAAGCCUUUCGGGGUGUAAAGCUCUGUCAGCAGGGACGAAUAAAGUGACGGUACCUGCAGAGGAAGCAUCGGCUAACUACGUG